CGCCGGGAUUGAAAUUCUUCCCGCUCCGAAGGCGGGGCCAGACCGGAGCAGUCGAUCCGUGCGAGUCCGCCCAGGCAGAAGCAAUCCACAAAGCCUGCGAAUUUGCGGAUUUGGUCCGCCGCGAUUCUUGGAGGGUGAGCAGUAGGCAGGUCGACCAGAAGUUUUAUGACUGCCGAGUGUAGCCCAGUGUGGGAACCUUAAAAAGAAGCUGGAAAUGCCCAUUGAAGCUGCAGAAUGCAUCCAAAAGAGCUGAAAUCAGGAUCUUGAAGAGAUAAUCUACAAUCCAACCUUCAUUGCAGCAGCAUUCACAGUAGCCUAGACAUGGCAACAAUUCAAAUGUUCAUUGACAGAUGAAUGGACAAAGAAGGUGUGGUACAUACAUGCAAGGGAAUAUUAUUCAGCCUUAAUAAAAGGAAGGAAUUCCUACCAUUUGUGACAACAUGGAUGCACUCGGAAGACAUGCUAAGUGAAAUAAGUCAGGCACAGAAGGACAAAGGCUGCAUGAUUCCACUUACAUGAAGUUUCUAAAAUAGUCAAACUUAUAGAACAGAAAAUAGAAUGGUCGUUGCCAGGGAAUGGGGGAUGGAGAUAGAGGGAGUUGUUUAAUAGGUAUGAAGUUUGUUAUGUAAAGAUGAAUAAGUUCUAGAGGUCAGCUGUACAACAGAGUGCCUAUAGUUAAUAAUAUACUGUUGCGUGCUUAAAAACUCAAGGGGGUAGAUCUCAUGUUGAAUAUUUUUACCACACACACAAAAGCAAAGGGACACAGGAAACGUUUGGAAGUGAUGAACAUGUUAUUUCCUUGAUAAAGGUGGUGAUGGUUUCAUGGAUACAUGGAUAUAUCCCAGCUCAUUAAAUGUAUGUAUUAAAUAUGUAUGAUUUUUUAAUAAUGUAUUGAUUAUAUCUCAAUAAAACUGGAAAAAGAAAGGUAAGAUAUAUAAUUUUAUGAAUGCUCUUUGGUCAGUGCCCUGAAUCAUCAGCUCUGUACACUCCUGAUGCUUUUGACAUGGAAAUCUCUGUUUAAUGCUAAAAUAUAAGACCAAAUAAAAUAUUCACUCCCUAUUUUAAGAUGAAAAUAUUAGGGUUUCUUUAAAAAAAAUGAGUCAGUUCCAUUCACAGUAGUCAAAAGAUGGAAGCAACCCCAGUGUCCAUUGACAAAUAAAUGGAUAAACAAAAGCGAUGUAUUUAUACAAUGGAAUAUUAUUCAGCCUUCAAAAGGAAGGAAAUUCUGAUACCUGCUCUAACAUAGAUGAACCUUGAGGAACAUUAUGCUGAGUGAAAUAAGCCAGUCACAAAAGGACACAUUCUGUAUGAUCCACUUAUAUGCAGUACCUAAAUUAGUCAGAUUAAAGAGACAAAAAAUAAAAUUUUUGUGAUUGCCAGCGACUACAGGACCAGUGUGUUCGUUAGUAUAUGCAGAGUUUCAGCUGGGGAAGAUGAAAACAUCCUGGAGAUGAUGGUAAUGAUGGUUGCACAAAAAAUGUGAAUAUACUUAAUGCCACAGUAUUACUUAAUGUACACAGAGCAUAACAGAAUGAACUUAAUGCUGCUGUACACUUAAACUUGUUGAAAUGGUCAUUUGUUACACACAUUUUACCACUACAAAAUUUUAAUGAAAAAAACCCGAGUCAGUGCCAGACUAACUGAGAAUCGUCCAUGUCUUACAUUCCGUGCUUUUCCCCUCCACCUGUCCGUCAUAUAGUAGAUGUGUUUUGAUUUGCAUUCUCACUCAAUCCAUGGUCCUAUACAUGAAGGAUUCCCUGGCUUCAGCUCCUAUUGUUUGAAGGGGGAGAUUCUGAAACAUGGGAUCCCAUUUUCCCUCCAUCCCUGGAUAUAGCUGAUUGGUUGGGCAGACCUCUGGUCCAAGCAGAACAGGACUUGGGGACAUGGCUUGAAAAGUUGAGCAGAACUAAUCAGAUUCCUCCCUAUUUACUCUCAUCGACACAAAUUCUAGCUGCAGUUGGCACUGGAUACUGGGGUGGAGAAAUAGAGAAACAGCAUGGGGGAGAAGAGGCUGAGAAGGACCCUUCAGGAUUGCUGAUUCAGCCUUCUUUGGAUCGCACAAGGACUACAUUCUCAUAAUAGAGCUACUUGGACAGGAUUUUUUCCCCCAACUCCCUAAAGCCAAUUUCUCUCACUGAGAAAUCUGCUGUGGUUAGAAUCACUUGAUAAAAUUGGAUUUUAUCCACAUAAUUUUUAUUGUCAUAAAAAUAAACCCUGGGAAAUCACAUAGCCUACAGCAGAGGUUCUCAGCAGGGGGUGACUGCUUCUCAGGGGAUAUUUGGUUCUGGUUGUCAGACUAGGAAGGGAAAGGUAGGUAGGUGCACUGGCUUCUAGUGGGUAGAGACCAGGGUUCUGCUAAAAAUCCUGCCAUGCGUAGGACAGUUGACUGCAAUGGGCAAUUAUCCAUUGCACAAGGUCAAUAGUGGUGAGUUUGAAAAACUCUGCCGUAGAGGAUUGGAGUCUGUUAACUAUGCACAAGAAUUUAUUCAGACCUUUAAUUUCUUGAACUGAAAAUAUUUAAAAGUAUCUGCAACCUCUGAGACGGAGGUGAUGGAGGACAUGAGUUGUUUUGCUUGCUCAGAAUCUACUCCCUGUUGAUUUGUCCUUAAGGAACCACCUUUCCCCGUUCUUAGUCCAUGUGGUUUCUGCGAGGUUGACCUGGGUGGAACUCACAGAACUCAGGCUGGCCAAUCAGAAUGGCACCUCCCAACCCAAUCCUCGGUGGCGACUAGGGUAAAGAGAUGGGUGUGUAAGUAAACAUGACCAAUCCCAGGACUAGAAGCAUGCUUUUCUAGUGGGGGACGCUGGGAAGGUAACUGAACUGCUGGCCACCGAGAGGGGAGCACCUGCUGAACCUGGGAGCCCACGGAGACACGUGAGCUGAGAGGAGGGGUGAGUAAGGCUGGUCCUCUUUAAGGCACUGGAUCUAGCUAGGCCAGAGCCACCACUUCGGUUUCCAGGGCCGUUGAGCUCGUAUAGUGCAAUUUUAAUUUGAGACACUUGAAGUUGCGUUUUUGUCACUUCAUACUGAAAGCGUGGCCUAGAUGACAUCUCUGUCGUAGGUUUAGCAAAGCAUAGGAAAGGCUCCUAUCAAUAUAUAUAAAAUAUUGAUACUAUCUGGAAGUCUUGCUUUCGUUUUUCCCAACCAAAGAUCCACAUACCUCACUCCACCCUACCUUCCUUCAUUCCCUGUUGAUUUCCUCCCAGUAUCCUCUCCUCUCCCAGCUGAGCCGCAGUCAUUAUUGCCUUCAGCACUUCAGCCUGCAUUUCCCUCUCUACCAGUGUCUACCUGCAGGUCUCAGGAACUGAAUGUUGGCUCGUGUUUACUGAGCACCUAUUAGGUGCUAUACACGGAGCCAAGUGCUGCAUAUGCAUGGUCUGAUUUGGACUGCAUAACAACCCUCUGUAUAAGGGACUUUAAAAUUAUUUUUCUCAUUUUACAAAUUAGGAAUUUGCCCCAAAUUGCAAAGCUCCUAAGAGGUUGACCUGGGAUUCAAACAUAAGUCAUUUGGGUUCCAUGGCCUGUGCUCCUGACCACUAUAUCACUCUGCCAUCUAUUUUUUUUUUUUUUAGAAAGAUCAAUUUCUUAAGCCAAAAAAAUACUCCAUGGAAUUGAAUCAAUACAUUUCUGAGUCAUUCUUGCCCCUAGGCUUAGAUAUGAAGAAAGCUGCAACUUUUCUGUAUCUAUGAACUGGUUUUUAUAAUCUUAAGGCAUUUUCUAAUCAAAUACAGGUUCCCAAAGUUUCCACAAAAGGAAAUAUAACUUCCAUAGUUCUGGGCCAUUCGGCCUGCUGUGCAAGCUUUUAAAUCACUGAUUGACAAUGCAUAGGCAAUGCUUAGUAAUAUAUGGUCCCACAUGGCUUUGUGUCAGCAUUUCUGAGUCAUGGCUGGGUACCUGUAACAGCCAAGUAACAUGUGCUCUAAUAGGGUCUGACUCACUUGUGAAGCUCCAUUAACUUGACAGUUUGAUUUCAUAAAAUUGAAAAGGACUCAGCUUUGGUUUUUCCUCUCUCUAAAUAUAACAAUGAUAUGAGUUCAAAAUUAUCCCUGUAACCUUUUAGUCACUGCUUAACUGCUGUCUUUUCAACUUGAAUGAAUUUUCUCAGUACUUGCUGUGUCACCCUAUUGCUCCACCCUUACAUCUCUACCUCUUGCAGCCUGGCUCCCUCAAUGCCACUGAAAUUACCCAUGAUCUCUUAGAUCCAAAGGACCCUUUUCAGACCUUGCCUGGCUUCUCUCAAGCAUGCUGUUUGCCACUCCAUUCUUCUUGACAUUUUUCUCUCCUGUUGCACUUCAGGAUAGCACUCUCCCUUGGCACUUCUCUUGCCUUUAGCACUGAUUUUUAGAUUCUCUUGCUGGCUGCAUUUUUCCUCCCUCUCUUUCUACAGAGAUAUUCUGUCCUUAUUCUCCUUUCCCUUUCUAGUCUAAACACCAUCUUCCAUGAAUCUUAUCCUCCACCCUACUGCCUUGGGGAUCUCUCUAAUGUAACCUGAACAAGUCUUGGGGUCCCCAAUGCCUUUCUCAGCUUGCUGUGGCAUUAAAAAAAACACACCCCAGUAGCCAAAGGUAAUUAAAACAUUUCCAAUGUUCAUUUCUACAUCUUAAAAAUAUCAAAACAGGUCUUGUUCUUAAUCCUAGACACUAUCUCCUCAAAUCCUCCUCUAUUAUGCAGACAUUUAAAAAAUAAGAUAAAUAUAUAUGCACUGGCUUAGAAAGCUAGUGACCAGCAUAUACACUUAACUAAAAAACCACAAGUUGCAGACAAAUAUAACACAAUUCCAUCUGUAUUUUUCAAAAAGUAUAUGUGAGAAUAUAUAAGAAAAAUUUCAGCAUGAAAUACACAGAAAUAUUAAUUGGUGAUAGCCUUAAGGGAAGGUGAUAGUGGAAGAAGGGAGGAAGAUAGAGGAGUGGAGAGUUUUUACACACACAGGUUUUAUGGAUCAUUUUAACUUUUUGUGUUCAGUAUUUUUCAAAUAAAAAAAGUCUCUGAGAAGCUAGAAGCUUCCUACUAAAAGGAACAAGAUAAGGAUGUCCCCUCUUACCACUCUUUCAGCAUCAUACUGUUACUGGCUCUCCUAGCUAAUGCAGUAAGACAAUAAAAGUAAUAGAAAGUAUCCUGACUGGGAAAGAAGGAACAAAACUGUCUGUUUACAGAUGACAUGAUUGCCAUGCAGAAAGUUCAGAAGAAUCUACACACACACAAAAAAAAAAAAAAAAGAAAGAAAGAAAGAAAGAAAGAAAAACUGGGACAAAUAAAACUUAUCACAAGGUUGCAGGAUACAAGGCUAAUAUACAAGUCAAUUGCUUUCCUGUAUGCCAGCAAUGAACAAGUAGAAUUCAAAAUUAAAAAUAUAUUACUAUAAAUAUUGCUACCUCCAAAAUAUGACUUAAUUAUAAAUCUAAUAAAUUAUAUACAAGAUCUAUGUAAGAGAAGUGCAAAACUCUGACAAACCAAAGAAGAAUUAAAUAAAUGGAGAGAGAGUCCAUGUUCAUGGAUAGGAAGACAAUACUGUGAAGAUGUCAGUUAUUCCCAACUUGACCUACAGACUCAGUGCAAUAACAAUAAAAAAAUCCCAGCAAGCUCUUUUGUAGAUAUCAACAAACUGAUUCCAAAAUGUAUAUGGAGAGGCAAAAGACCCAGAAUGGCAAACAUGAUCUUGAAGGAGAGGAACAAAGUUGGAGGACUGAUACUACCUGAUUUCAAGAUCUACUAUAAAGCUGCAGCAACAAAGACAUGUGGUAUUGGCAAAAGAAUAGACAGAUCAAUGGAACAGAAUAGAGCCCAGAAGUAAACCCACAUAAAAAUACCAACUGAUCUUUAACAGAGGAGCAAAGACAAUACAAUGGACCAGAGGUAGUCUUUUCAACAAAUAGUCUUUUCAACAACUGGACAUCUAUAUGUAAAAAAUAUGAAUCUAGACACAGACUUCACACCUUUCACAAAAAUUAACUCGAAAUGUAAACUGCAAAACCAUAAAACUCCUAGCAGAUACGAUAGGAGAAAAUCUUGAUGACCAUGGACAUAGUGAUUGCUUUUUGGAAUACAAGAAAGGCAUAAUCCUUUAAAGAAAGAACUGGUAAGCUGGACUUAAACUAAAAAAAAAACUUCUUCUCUGUAUAAGACAUGAGAAUCAGAAGACAAGCCACAAACUGGAAGGAAAUAUUUUCAAAAGACAUAUCUGAUGAAGACUGUUAUCCAAAAUACAGAAAGAACCUUAAAACUCAAUAAUAAGAAACCAAAUACUCAAUUAAAAAAUUGGCCAAAGACCUGACAUCUCACCAAGAAGAUAUGCAGAUGGCAAAUAAGCCUAUGAAAAGAUGCUUAACAAGAUGUGUCCUCAGGAAAAUGCAAAUUAAAACAAUGAGAUGCCACUGCAUACUUAUUAGAAUGUCCAAAAUAAGAAACACCACCAAAUGCUAGCAAAGAUGUAGAGCAGUAGGAACUCUCAUUCAUUGCCAGUGGGAAUGCAAAAUGUUUCUUAUAAAACUCUUAAGCAUGCUCUUAACAUAUGACCCAGCACUUGUACCCCUUGCUAUUUACCCAAAUGAGUUGAAAACCUGUGGCCCCACAAGAACCUGCACACAGGUAUUUAUGGCAGCUUUAUUGAUAAUUGCCUAAACAUGGAAACAACCAAGAUGUCCUUCAGUAGAUGAAUGGAUAAACUGUGGGAUGUCCAGGUAAUAGAUUAUUAUUCUAUGCUAACAAAAUGAGCUACUAAACCAUGAAAAGACAUGGAGGAAUCUCAAAUACAUAUAACUAAGUGAAAUAAGCCAAUCUGAAAGACUAAAUACUA